rnacentral:rRNA from 1 species
CCUACGGGUGGCAGCAGUGGGGAAUAUUGGACAAUGGGCGAAAGCCUGAUCCAGCCAUGCCGCGUGUGUGAAGAAGGCCUUCGGGUUGUAAAGCACUUUCAGUGGGGAAGAAAGCCUUGGGGCUAAUACCCUCGAGGAAGGACAUCACCCACAGAAGAAGCACCGGCUAACUCCGUGCCAGCAGCCGCGGUAAUACGGAGGGUGCGAGCGUUAAUCGGAAUUACUGGGCGUAAAGCGCGUGUAGGCGGUCUGAUAAGCCGGUUGUGAAAGCCCCGGGCUCAACCUGGGAACGGCAUCCGGAACUGUCAGGCUAGAGUGCAGGAGAGGAAGGUAGAAUUCCCGGUGUAGCGGUGAAAUGCGUAGAGAUCGGGAGGAAUACCAGUGGCGAAGGCGGCCUUCUGGACUGACACUGACGCUGAGGUGCGAAAGCGUGGGUAGCAAACAGGAUUAGAUACCCGUGUAGUC